rnacentral:rRNA from 1 species
AUUGAACGUUGGCGGCGUGGGUUAGGCAUGCGAGUCGAGCGAGAACCGUAGCAAUACGGGGACAGCGGCGAAAGGGACAGUAACGGGUAGAUUAUCUGCCCUCAGGUUUGGGAUAGCUGCGGGAAACUGCAAGUAGUACCAAAUAAUAUCUCCGGAUCAAAGGUGUGAUUCCGCCUGAGGAUGAGUCUGCCUCCUAUUAGCUUGUUGGUGGGGUAACGGCCUACCAAGGCAUUGAUGGGUAGCGGGUGUGAGAGCACGACCCGCGUCAUUGGGACUGAGACACUGCCCAGACACCUACGGGUGGCUGCAGUCGAGAAUCUUCGGCAAUGGACGCAAGUCUGACCGAGCGACGCCGCGUGUGGGAUGAAGGCCUUCGGGUUGUAAACCACUGUCAGAGGGGAUGAAAUGCAGGUGGGUACUCCCAUUUGUUUGACAUAGCCUCAGAGGAAGUACGGGCUAAGUUCGUGCCAGCCGCCGCUGUAACAC